rnacentral:rRNA from 1 species
AUGUUCAGAACGACAGGAAGGCUUUCAAGUUUCAAGGAUGGUAAAAAGCAUAGAGAAGGAAAAAAGGGAAUGACAACAGCACAAGUUCUAGGAAGAGUGAGCAUGGGUAUGAUUCAGAAGAUGAUUCUGAGACUGGCCAUGAUGAUGAGAAAAGGGGGAAAGAAACACAUGAAGAAAUCCUUCUUAGAUGGAGAUGUUGAUCCUGUGAUUGUUCAUAAGAAGGCAACUAUUGCCUCCUUGCAACCAGCACGUUUAUGCAAGCUAUCAGCGUGUUGCUCUGAAAGCCUGAAACUUCGGCGUCACCAUAAUUACUGCUCUAAUAAUGCUUGGUUGCCGUCAGCGUAG